UUUACAAUGAAGAGUUUGAUCCUGGCUCAGGAUGAACGCUAGCUACAGGCUUAACACAUGCAAGUCGAGGGGCAGCAUUUUAGUUUGCUUGCAAACUGAAGAUGGCGACCGGCGCACGGGUGAGUAACACGUAUCCAACCUGCCGAUAACUCCGGAAUAGCCUUUCGAAAGAAAGAUUAAUACCGGAUGGCAUACGAAUAUCGCAUGAUAUUUUUAUUAAAGAAUUUCGGUUAUCGAUGGGGAUGCGUUCCAUUAGUUUGUUGGCGGGGUAACGGCCCACCAAGACUACGAUGGAUAGGGGUUCUGAGAGGAAGGUCCCCCACAUUGGAACUGAGACACGGUCCAAACUCCUACGGGAGGCAGCAGUGAGGAAUAUUGGUCAAUGGGCGCGAGCCUGAACCAGCCAAGUAGCGUGAAGGAUGAAGGCUCUAUGGGUCGUAAACUUCUUUUAUAUGGGAAUAAAGUUUUCCACGUGUGGAAUUUUGUAUGUACCAUAUGAAUAAGGAUCGGCUAACUCCGUGCCAGCAGCCGCGGUAAUACGGAGGAUCCGAGCGUUAUCCGGAUUUAUUGGGUUUAAAGGGAGCGUAGGUGGAUUGUUAAGUCAGUUGUGAAAGUUUGCGGCUCAACCGUAAAAUUGCAGUUGAAACUGGCAGUCUUGAGUACAGUAGAGGUGGGCGGAAUUCGUGGUGUAGCGGUGAAAUGCUUAGAUAUCACGAAGAACUCCGAUUGCGAAGGCAGCUCACUAGACUGUCACUGACACUGAUGCUCGAAAGUGUGGGUAUCAAACAGGAUUAGAUACCCUGGUAGUCCACACAGUAAACGAUGAAUACUCGCUGUUUGCGAUAUACAGUAAGCGGCCAAGCGAAAGCAUUAAGUAUUCCACCUGGGGAGUACGCCGGCAACGGUGAAACUCAAAGGAAUUGACGGGGGCCCGCACAAGCGGAGGAACAUGUGGUUUAAUUCGAUGAUACGCGAGGAACCUUACCCGGGCUUAAAUUGCAACAGAAUAUAUUGGAAACAGUAUAGCCGUAAGGCUGUUGUGAAGGUGCUGCAUGGUUGUCGUCAGCUCGUGCCGUGAGGUGUCGGCUUAAGUGCCAUAACGAGCGCAACCCUUAUCUUUAGUUACUAACAGGUUAUGCUGAGGACUCUAGAGAGACUGCCGUCGUAAGAUGUGAGGAAGGUGGGGAUGACGUCAAAUCAGCACGGCCCUUACGUCCGGGGCUACACACGUGUUACAAUGGGGGGUACAGAAGGCGGCUACCUGGUGACAGGAUGCUAAUCCCAAAAACCUCUCUCAGUUCGGAUCGAAGUCUGCAACCCGACUUCGUGAAGCUGGAUUCGCUAGUAAUCGCGCAUCAGCCAUGGCGCGGUGAAUACGUUCCCGGGCCUUGUACACACCGCCCGUCAAGCCAUGAAAGCCGGGGGUACCUGAAGUACGUAACCGCAAGGAGCGUCCUAGGGUAAAACUGGUAAUUGGGGCUAAGUCGUAACAAGGUAGCCGUACCGGAAGGUGCGGCUGGAACACCUCCUUUCUG
rnacentral:rRNA from 1 species